GCUGCCGAUUUCGGUGAAAAAGUUCUAACCAACGAUCCAGGUUUGGACUCGACACCUUUUGUUAACCGAAGAUCGUCUUUCGUUGGCGCGUCCUUUAAAAUCAGAUAGUGGAUCCAGUGUAGCGCUGGCGUCGAGGCAGGCAACUUGAUAUUAUUUGUCACUGCUCAGUCAGGUAGAUUGAACUCGAUGGAAUCGUAGAAAAGGGAUUAAGGGUAUCCAAAUAUCCAAGUCCUGGCUAAUAACGAAGCUAAGCAUCGAGCAACAAGUAUCGACCUAAAGUCUUGGUUUAUUUUUUGGUUGUCCCAUCAUUGGUCAGUCGUUUCUAACCUCAACAAUAAAUACCUUAGCACCCUCUACUUAUUUCUCUCAUUUUCAUUUUCUAUGGAUUCAUUACACUUAACAAAAGGUUUAUUAUUUAAAAAGGAUUUACGUUAAUUCGCCGGAUUCUUUGCUGUCUAACAAGAACACAAGGAUCAAUCCUAAACAAGUGAUUAUCCGUUUGGGUUCCGAAUGGAAACCGAAAAUUGAAAUAUGGUUCCUGUGUUGUUAAAUCUCUAGGAUGAAGAAAGGAACACAUUGGAAAUAGUGAACGAAACAAACGAAAUAUUCCUUCGAUAAAGUAACAAGGAACACCCAGUAUACGCAAGAGGGGAAGAUGUUAGAAAUUCUUGGUCGUACGGUGUAACGCUCCGUUGACACGAUGAUGGAUCGUCCACCUUGACCGGACAGGUUGUUGUACAAGUAACAGGAUUCUCGUUCAAUUAAUUGCGUUAUUCAGAAACGAUCAAUCAGCAAUUAGCAAUGUACUGUCCAGCUUGGGGUGACCAGACUGUGUAAUCUAAAGAUUGAAAACAGACUAGAACAAGAGCGGUGCAGCCAGCAGCACGAGACGACGCUGACUCUAAUUAUGAAUCUUGAGACCUUGGCCACCCCUGAUCGGUACGUUUACGUCGGCCUCGCCAGGUCUCGCCGUUUGUUUUUCCCUGCCAAUUUGCACCGAGAUCUCGAGUCUGCGACACGAGAUACGCCAUUGGCGGAACAAGACGGAGGAACAAGCUGAGAGGACGAGGAGCACGAAGAGGAAGAGGAUGCAGGAAGAAAAAGGAGAUCGGGCUGGUCACACAUGACAAUGUACGACGAAGGCAUGAUGGAUGAGGGGGCGGCUAGUUUACGUGAUCGAGACAUGAUCGCUGGCAGACGGGGUGGUCCGUCUGUCCGUUUCUUUUCUCUUUCUUUCACAUUGGAAUGGCUCGUCCGGUGUGUUUCGCCCUUUCCACGUAGUGCACGUAAUACACGAGAACUCGAACCACCCCUGUCACCGGUCUGACCGAUCUUAUUGUCAUAUUCUAUGGACACAGGAGAAGCUGCUCUCUUAAGGCGAAUUUACACUUUUUCAUUUUGGAUAUUCAUUCUGAAUAAUUUAUUCACUCAUCUUUAUAAGGAAGAUGAAAAUUGGAAUAUUUAUAGAUAAAUGUUUGUUCAACGAUUGAAUUCGUAUAAAGUAUUGUGCCUCAGAAGAAGUUUUAUAAAAGAAAUGCAGAUUGGCUAUUUUCUAGAAUCAUGAAAAUAGAAAAAAUAAUAUAAUUUAUUAUAUGGAUCAUUGCAAAAUUGAGAUGCAGAAUGCAUCAGUUAUCCAAGAAGGAUCCCGACGAAACGUCGCUGAAAUUUAUAUGGACAUAUCGUGGAUAGAGGGCACAAAACUCACGCUGUGACUUUCUUAUGAGUCGUACGGGAGCACGCAGCGACUUUUUGAUGAAGGAACGAAACCACGCGUUUUCUCAUCAAGAAUCUCGCGGAGAAACCAGUAGCCCCUCGUCGAAGUAUCCCGCUGAUCUUUCUCUCCUUCUUAGUCUCUCGAUUCUCUGUUAACCGGAGGAUCUUUGUGAAGUUCUGACACGAGGAAUGCUUUGCCGGUGCCGAGAGGAGGCCAAGAGGACGCUUGUUCGUGCUACCGGCUCGAAACGCGAACCUUCCAAUGUCUCAUCUUCCUCUUGUCUUUCCUUUCUGUAUCCUCCGCGCCAUGGUGCGCCGUCGUGCCCUGACGUUUCGUUUCUGGCGUUCUGACGUUGAUUCUUCGGAUAUAUCGGGCCCGCAGGGGUAGAGGGGCCCGCGCGAAAUCCUGCUCGGAUGUCUAGUUUGAAGAAUUCUUAAUUAAAUCUUGCUUGGACGUCCUUUUGAUAACGGUUGGCAUGGAGGAUUGAGAACUGUGGGGUGAAUACGAGAUAUGUUCCAGUCAUUCCAAACGUUUUCCUCGAUUAAUUCGAUCAUUCGGCAUUUUACUACAUCGAUCUAAAAUCGAAAAAAAUAAAAAAGAUUCGAAAGCGGAGAGCCUUCAAACAAUGGGACGCGAGACAGCUUCAUAUCCAUGAGACGUGGCCACGAGCCCGGAAAAAAUUCGAACCGACACGUUCGAACGAUUCGAAAAUUCGGUAGCUUUCCGUCCUUCCGAAGAUGAUACCGUUGUUGCGUCCCUAGGGUGCCUUUGUACCACCGGCCUGCCACCCCCGCGCAAAAGCCUCUGCUUAAGGGUCGGAUAAGAGGAAGAAACAAAUCCGCCACCUUUGGAUAUGAGAAGACGAGCGAUGGCUGCCGCGAUAACCGACCGAGUGGCUGACACGACAUUCGAGAAGCCUUCAUCAGGACCCGAUAUCGAAUCCGUCCGCCGACGGCCGAGGAUCGAAUAUGCCUUUGACUUUCGAUCGCGGUCAAAUCUGGAUCCCUCGACUUUUCAGAAUUUGAAAAGACGAGACGUGUGUGUACUCUCAUUUUUUCUCUUUGUGUGCACCUUAUACGGGUUACGAUGGAAACGAUAAAAUGUAGGACAAAUUAUAAUAGAGAUGUUUUUUGAUGCUUAAAUGGGAAGGAUAUAUACGAAAGAUACGUUGAAAGCGAGUAUAUACAAAGUUUAUGAGAAACGACAUGGUUGUCUGUAGUUUCAGUUGUGGAAGUGUAAGAACUAGAAAGUAAAAUUUUAAUAAAAAUCCAACUGAUAUUUGCCGACCAUUUUACCUAUCUUAUUCUUCUUUUUUUUCUUUUUCCAGAAAACUCACGAUCCACCUCUCAAAUAACUCAAACUUCAGUGAAGCGGUCACGAAAAUCCCCGACGCAGAGCGGUGUCCGCGCGGAAAUGCAGCCAUCCAUAACUCAGGAAGAAAAAACCCUAACCGGUCCUCUUUGCUCUUAUGAUUUUAAUCCGUGGAAAUUGUGUCGGCAAACACAACGAUUGUUCGUCAGAAGGGAGCGUCCGCGUUUACGUCACACCGCCCAUUCUGAAAAGUAAUCUACACUGUAUUGUUAGCCCCUUGGAAAAAGAGAUUCCACCUUCAACGUCGCUGUACUUACGGCCAGCCGCUGUUCUCUCGCUGUUUAACGCGGCCAGCUUAUGUUCGAUUCGUCCAGGGGGAGAAGGAGCGGGGAGAAGAAAGGAAAGAGAUAGAGAAAGAGGCGCGCGCAGCUUGAUCUGUCACGGGUAUUGAGGAUCGCGGUCGGAUGAUCGCGCGUAAGCACGUUAUUCGCAGCAGCUUUUCAGCCGCGGUAUCGUUGCUUCUUAUAGGGGUUGGCCACUGUGUGCUAGGGAAGAGGAGGGGGCAAGUAAGUCCCGCCACCGUGGCUACGUGGAUUAUCUCUGGGCGGCGCGGACCAACACCGGUUUUUUUCACUACCUGACCGGGUCGACAAGAAUUCCGAGUUACCUGGUUCGAGUUGGGCGCGACAAUGGUUAAAAUUUGCCAGCAAUGGGGCGUUUUUGGUCAGAAGCUUCUUUUAACGGAGAAACAGAGUACCAUUUACAUUUAUUUUUAUUUUGUCAAUUGAAUUCUUACUAUUGAUUUGAUAUGAUGAAAAUGAAACAUUCGUUUUCGUCCAAAUCAAAUUUAAAUUUGAAAUUUAAACAACUUCAUUUUUCCUUAUCUUUUCGCAACUAUCACGUAACAUAGAGUGCACGAAACAAUACCGCCGGAAACGUCUGGAAAAAGAAAGAAAGAAAGAAAGAAAGAAUCGCAGCAGAUAUCCGCGUGCGGUAUCCUUGAUCCUUUCGACGUUGUUGCGAAUCGCAGCUGUGGAUCCAGGCUACCUAAUUUUCGAGAGGGCGUACAGCGAGCGUGAGGGGAGGGAAGGGAGUCAGAAACCACCUGGAAUCCCCGGGAUCAGGGGAGUGAGAGUAUUCGGAUGCGUCGAGCCGUACAACGAGCCGCCGCAGAAUAAGGGAUGCUCUUCCAUCCUGUCCUUGUCCCUCCGACCUUCGAGCAUAGCUCGCGCGCACGUUGCCGUGUUUCACGUUCCAGCUAUGGUAUCCAAUCUAUGGCACUUUUUACAGGGCACGAAUAUACGUGUAUAACUUAAUGCCAUACCCUCAACCGUGCAACCAACCCCUGGCUCGAGGGGUACCAGCGAGACUUAAACACCAGUAUACUUACCGCAUGUUGCCAUAAUGAGUGGAGGGGUAGAAGGGGAUUGGAUUUGGGGGAAGGAAAGCAGAGGGCAGGAGCCCCAGCCCGUUCCUCCUUUUCAUUGAAUGCCGCAAAAGGCAUGAUGCCUCGAAAGAAAGAUUAAAGCGGCCGCGAUCCGAGUGGUAUGGUUUGUUUAUCGGUCGGUUUUUCGCUUUCUUUUUUUUUUUUUUUUCCCUCCUCCCCUUCUUUUUUCAAGGCGGCUCUCCUCCUCCUCGUGGCUUCUCUUCCUCGUUCAGCGCUUCCUCAAACGCGCGGCGCGCGCAUCGCGUUGCAACGAAGCGGCGGACUUUGGUUAAUAUAUAUAUAUGUAUAUAUACAUAUGUACACGCUUUUGAUGCGAGCUUGGCCUUUUUUUUACGUUGAUACUUUCCUUUUUAGUCGGGCGUGUCUUUUUUUUUCUUUGUCGGUUGGUUCUUUCCGAUCGUAUAAAAGAUCUAAUAUGUAUGAUGGAGUGUAUUGAGGUUUUGUUACUUUGUUUUGGCGAGUGUCUUUUAUUAAAAUGAAUCGGGAUAAUAUGGGAUGUAAAUAGUUUCUUUUUUUCUGUAUUCUAGAAGUAAUAUUAUUAUUACUUGCAAAGUAAUAUCAUGUUUAAGAAAAUAAUGAUACGAUUAUAAUUUAAGUCUAAGUUUUAAAUCUAUUGUAGCAGACUUAAGGAACGAUCUUAAGAAUCGCGUAUCUGAAUUCAAUCGAAGAAAAAUUUUCAACGAGAAGACGAUAAAAAGAAACUCUUUUAUCGUGAAUCAACGAGUUCGAUAACGCGCGCACGAUGUUCAUCAAAAUCUUGUCCGGUUAGUUAUUCGGCAAACGUUAGCAGUGCCAUAAUUAUUAUCGAUAUUACACUCUCCGGUUCGUGCACCGCCGCCUGUCUGCAAAAUGUAUUCCUCUGAUGCGCAUACUAACGUGUACAAGGGUUCAAUCGCGGUUUGGCGAGGGGUUGGAAAAUCGGCCAGAGGGAUGCGCGGGGGGAUGUUUCGUAGUAGGGCGGACCAGUGAAGGGAAAACAUGGUGGCCACUGGUUGCGGCAUUCAUCAGAGGCGGUACUCUGCGUACCUUUUGAGAUCUCUCUUCUCUCCGCUCUCUUUUUCGUCCCCCCGCCCCCUUUCUCUUUUUCCCUCUUUCACCACGAUCGUUCACGUGUGUACACGACGAUAGUACUAAAAGGGGGAGGGGGUUUUGUAAGAAGAAAAAAAAAACUUUCCUCCAUUGAGAAUUAUUCGCAAUAAAAAGGGAACCGCCUUUGUCGGCUCCUUUCACCUAAUAUUCCACGAUGCCGGAGGAAAAAAAUCUUCCGCCCGUAUUUACACCUACUUUCGGCUACUUGGAAACGCAUUAUCGCGCUCCUCUCCGAGAGCACGGUCUACGAACGUUUCUGAAAAGUUCCACGAUUUCACGGAUACGCGCGCAGUAAAUGUAUUGUGUCGCUUAAAGGGGCGGUAAAAGGAAUUGUAAUGUCCGUAUUUAGCCAAUUAUUGUUGUUUCGUUUAAGUGGAUUCGAAUCGAUUGGUUGUUUAAUAUUUGCUCAAGUUUUUGAGAUAAAUUUUUCCUACAAAGUUUGCAGAAAAGUAUUUACCCCUGGAACAUCUAUUAUCAAUUCCUUGUGCAUUAGAUACAAAAGAUGGAAUUGUAAAAUUAAUUAAAAUUACUUCAAUUUUUUAAGUAAUUUUAUUUUAUAAUGUUUGAAUAACAUUCAAGUAGUAGUUAUUAUUUGCUCUUCGUACAACUUCGACGGUUGGUAACACGAUACAUCUGCGGUUAUUCGAUGCUUCACAUAUAAUAAAUUAUUAUAAAGUAACUUAUCGAGGUAACUUUAUUUCUAACUUCAAUUAUUAUUAAAAUUUUGUCCAUCCCUGAUAUUUAGUUAUUUAUCACAAUUUCACAAUAUCUUUUUAUUUAUUAUCUAUAAAUAAUUCGAAUAUCGUCACGCGUACGUUAAUUUCUUUUAACAUAAUAAUAAAAGGGAAUAAAAACAAAGACCAAAAAAAAAAAAAAAAAAAGAAAUAAAAAGAUAA